AGAGUUUGAUCAUGGCUCAGGACGAACGCUGGCGGCGUGCUAAUACAUGCAAGUAGAACGCUGAAGAAGGGAGCUUGCUUCUUUUGGAUGAGUUGCGAACGGGUGAGUAACGCGUAGGUAACCUGCCUUGUAGCGGGGGAUAACUAUUGGAAACGAUAGCUAAUACCGCAUAACAGCUUUUGACACAUGUUAGAAGCUUGAAAGAUGCAAUUGCAUCACUACGAGAUGGACCUGCGUUGUAUUAGCUAGUAGGUAGGGUAACGGCCUACCUAGGCGACGAUACAUAGCCGACCUGAGGGGGUGAUCGGCCACACUGGGACUGAGACACGGCCCAGACUCCUACGGGAGGCAGCAGUAGGGAAUCUUCGGCAAUGGGGGCAACCCUGACCGAGCAACGCCGCGUGAGUGAAGAAGGUUUUCGGAUCGUAAAGCUCUGUUGUAAGAGAAGAACGUGUGUGAGAGUGGAAAGUUCACACAGUGACGGUAACUUACCAGAAAGGGACGGCUAACUACGUGCCAGCAGCCGCGGUAAUACGUAGGUCCCGAGCGUUGUCCGGAUUUAUUGGGCGUAAAGCGAGCGCAGGCGGUUUAAUAAGUCUGAAGUUAAAGGCAGUGGCUUAACCAUUGUUCGCUUUGGAAACUGUUAAACUUGAGUGCAGAAGGGGAGAGUGGAAUUCCAUGUGUAGCGGUGAAAUGCGUAGAUAUAUGGAGGAACACCGGUGGCGAAAGCGGCUCUCUGGUCUGUAACUGACGCUGAGGCUCGAAAGCGUGGGGAGCAAACAGGAUUAGAUACCCUGGUAGUCCACGCCGUAAACGAUGAGUGCUAGGUGUUAGGCCCUUUCCGGGGCUUAGUGCCGCAGCUAACGCAUUAAGCACUCCGCCUGGGGAGUACGACCGCAAGGUUGAAACUCAAAGGAAUUGACGG
rnacentral:rRNA from 1 species